UUAGUAUGCUUUACUCGCCUGCGCUUACACAUCCAUUUUAACCAUCUUUUUUACAAGUUAAUUGACACACGUGUGAAAUUCGAUAUUAUCUUAAGUAAUUCGGCAUAUUUUUAGGAAAAAAUCUUACGACCCCGGGGUGUCUGUGACACAACUUUUCGCUUGCGGUUCUAGCUGUUGUAUCUGCUUAACUAAGUAUAGUAUUAAAAAUACAUAAUGUUUACAACAUUACAAUCGGGAACGUGCUUAGUAUGCUUUUAAUGAUCUUACUCACUAAUAUCUAUUGCUAAGACGUAAAACGUUUAAUAUUUACUUUUGCAUCAUGGGUCAAUUAAAAUUUUCCUGAUCGUUUUUCGCGAAGCCGCAGGAGCUAGUUACAAGCUAUUUAGGCUUGUAGGAGGUACGUGGCAUUGUGCUCUAUACGUGUAGUUAGGAGUGAUAGGCCUAUCAACUGCGUGGAUAUCUCGAUGCACACGAAAAUAUGUAGUAUAAUUCCGGACUACGAAAGUUAAGCCUCGUAGUAUAUACAAAUAUUAGUGUAUCUUUUAACGGCCCUAACCGUCUAUUAUUUUGGGCAAUCAUAUUUAUGUUGAGCUAUGUUGUAACAUACUAGUGUGCCGCGGGUGUUUAUUUGUUUUGUUGAUAAUGUUGUCAUAAGUAGCACAUUAAAUAGCCUGAAGGAACUCGGCAAAUCUGCUUCUCACCUGUUUAUCAAAAACAGCGCUGUAUGUAAUUGACGUAUGGUACUUCUGCUCCAUGGUAUGCUAAAUAGCCGCAGUACUCUGACUGUGCAAAGGUAGCAUAAUAAUUUGGCUUAUAAUUGAAGUCUGGCUCGAAAGAAUUAAUGGGAAGCAGCUGUCUCCAGGGGUACUAGUACAAAAUUAGUAAGUAAGUGAAAAUACUUGCGGGAAGAAAAUAGACGAGAAGACCCUAGAAGCUUGUUAUUUGUUUUGUUGGGGCGACAGAAUUGCAUGGAACCAAUUUUAUGGAUGUGACGUAUAGCAGGAAAUUAAGCUACUCUAGGGAUAACAGCAUAAUUAAACUUGUUUGUGACCUCGAUGUUGGACUAGGUAGAAUAGUCCCUAGAAGGGACUAAAAAUGCUCUGUUCGAGCAGCUUAACCUACAUGAUCUGAGUCAGACCGGCGUAAGCCAGGUCAGUUUCUAUCUUUUUAAUAAUACUUGCUAGUACGAAAGGACCGUAGGUUGCAUUAAUACUA
rnacentral:rRNA from 1 species